GGCUGUAGUUCAGUGGCAGGGCACUUGCCUAGAGUGCAUGAGACCCUGAGUUCAAUUCCCAGCACCA
rnacentral:tRNA from 1 species